GACGAACGCUGGCGGCGUGCUUAACACAUGCAAGUCGUACGGUAAGGCCCUUUCGGGGGUACACGAGUGGCGAACGGGUGAGUAACACGUGAGUAACCUGCCCACAACUUUGGGAUAACGCUAGGAAACUGGUGCUAAUACUGGAUAUGUGCUCCUGCUGCAUGGUGGGGGUUGGAAAGCUCCGGCGGUUGUGGAUGGACUCGCGGCCUAUCAGCUUGUUGGUGGGGUAGUGGCCUACCAAGGCGGCGACGGGUAGCCGGCCUGAGAGGGUGACCGGCCACAUUGGGACUGAGAUACGGCCCAGACUCCUACGGGAGGCAGCAGUGGGGAAUAUUGCACAAUGGGCGCAAGCCUGAUGCAGCAACGCCGCGUGCGGGAUGACGGCCUUCGGGUUGUAAACCGCUUUCAGGAGGGACGAAGCUUUUUGUGACGGUACCUGCAGAAGAAGCACCGGCUAACUACGUG
rnacentral:rRNA from 1 species